rnacentral:rRNA from 1 species
UACGUAGGGUCCGAGCGUUGUCCGGAUUCAUUGGGCGUAAAGAGCGUGUAGGCGGCCAGGUAGGUCGGUUGUGAAAACUGGAGGCUCAACCUUCAGAGGUCGACCGAAACCAUCUGGCUAGAGUCCGGGAGAGGAGAGUGGAAUUCCUGGUGUAGCGGUGAAAUGCGCAGAUAUCAGGAAGAACACCCGUGGCGAAAGCGGCUCUCUGGAACGGUACUGACGCUGAGACGCGAAAGCGUGGGGAGCAAACAGG